UAUUAAAAUUUUCAUCUAUUUAUAUUGUUAAAAAUUGGUGUGGCCGAUACAAUAACUAGACAGCUACACACCAUAGUUUUUAACUGUAAAAAUAAUGAAAAUUUUAACA
rfam:Gossypium raimondii Chr09_contig_666, whole genome shotgun sequence.